GAGAUAUAUGGAUUCGGCAUCUUUUGUCCAAAGAACGAACAAAACCGCAAAUGUAAUGAAAUGUCAUCCAAUUAAAUGUAUGAAUGGAUCGGGCGGAAUGUAGGAGCAUAACACCACUACAAUGAUACGAUAGGCGACUGAGACUUCAAAUAUUGAAUUGUAUCAGUGUAUGUCGUCUGCCAUUCAAAAACCUCAACGAUAUCACAUCACAUGCUAGUGAAAGAAAAUGCAUCAUCAUCAGCUUUAUUUUGUUGGCAGUAAAUGUAAUGAGAGUUUCAUCAAUUCAAUUGGGUGAAAAUUAAACGGAAUUACCAGCAAUUGAAAAUUAUCACCCACAAGAAAGAAACAAAUUAGAUUAAAUUAAGUUAAGAUUAAAAUCUUCGCAAAACGAUGUUACGCAAAGCCAGCCCUCCUCUCCCGGCAGCAAAUUUAGCAAUGGUCUCGAAGAAUUUAUUUUCUCGAGACAUAAUUUUUGCUUUUCCCAGAUGGACACUAAAACCGAUCACGAAAAAAGACUUAUUGUAAAGUCAAAGACCGAAAUGUUUGCGAAAAAUAAUUAAAAUCAUAACGGAAAAAAGCGGUUAAGUUGUGCAAGUGGUAAAUUAUUCCAAGCCGAACACAUAUUAUCCCGUUUCCUCGCCGCCGACUGUUGAGCGAGCCCAGCAAAAACCAUAAGGUUGACGAUGACGGUGUUGGUGUUGAUGAAAAAUUUGUUGAUACUAAAAGGAUAUUCGGUUGAAUACUGAUGCCGGCUGCAAUUUUAAUUUGCAUGGCUGUUGCGGCCCACCCUCACCCAAGACCAUUACAGCAACCAGGAAGACUAAAUCAUCUAUUUGCGGAGGCCACAAUUUUAAAAGAUUAACCAACUGCCUAAAAGGAAACUAAAUAAAAGUUGCACAAACUAACAGAUGCGAGCAAGUAAAGAUUUUACUACCCACUAAACCCUUAGUCUGUAUACAUGCAAAUAUAUGGAAAAAGUAUAUAAAUAUGUGUAUAUACAAGUACAUAUGUAUUUAAUAUAUUACUCAAUAAGUACGCAGGGUGACAUACAGAUUUAAAAUGAGUAUUGACAUGAUUUUUAGAUAAUACCAAGGUUCAGAAUCAAAAUAGAAAUGAAACCACUAGUAGUAGAUCAAGAUAGAGGAAAAACAGCCAAACGGUCCACAAGGGAUCUCCGGACUUUUUUCUUUACUAUUUGCAUUGCAUGUUUAGCGAUGUUGUUAAUAUAUUAAGAUUAACUUUUCCACAGUUCUUUCUUGGUUACAUGGUAGAAGCACGUAAAAAUUUGUUGUUCUUCAAUCCCUCAUAAACAUGUAACCAUUUAAGUCACUUGGAGCCUAUUAGCUUACUAUGUAAGGCAGCUUUUUAUUUUCAAUUGUGAUUUGAAGCGUCGUGGACUAUGGGAAAUGGCUAUUGAGACACUAUCCAGUUUAUUCGCCUGUCUGGAGACAUGAGUCGCAUUGCAUACGUUAUUUCAAAUGCAGAAAUUCCGUUGAACAUCAACAUUUCGUUUUGCGGUAAUCUCUUUAAUAGUAAUCCGUGAGUUAUUAUUCACUAAAUCAUGGCUAAAGUCACUACCCCACGUUGAAGCAAAGUUUAUCGUUUAGAUUGAAAUCAGCACUUUUAAAUGGAUUAAUGCGAGUAUUAAGAACGGGAGCGAUUAAUGUAACGAUGAGAGCACAGCCAAGGAAGAAAUGGAACACAAUUCUCGAUUACGUUUUGUUGCUCUUUCAAAACUCGCUCGUUGAUUAACUUAAUAUUGUGAAACGAAGGACAUUUUCGUCCAUUCUGAAGAAUGAUACGUCAUAAAUUAAAUUCGAUAUGGUUUUUUUUAAAUUUAAUUGACCUAUAAGACCUACGAUAAAUCUGAGUUGUUACUAUAUAAAGAAAUAUCAGUACGCAGUCGAAAGUGCGUCCUUUUGCUAAUAAAUAAAAAUUGUGCAAGAACUUUUGCAAAAAUCCAAUGUAUUUAAGAAAGUCAUGUAU